UUGUUGAUACGCCUUUGUUCAUUUAUAACAUUUAUAUAAUAAAAAUACAACAAUACAGUACCGUUAGAUCAUCAACUCAAAUCAAUUCACAAUACACACAACCAAUCACAAUAAAACAAAUACAACAAAACAGUACCGGUAGAUCGUCAACUUAAAAUCCGGACAGUCAGAUGUGUGAACAACUAUCCUUUGCCCUUACGCAGUGGGAAAUAAUGACGUAGUAGAUUAAAGUAAAUUAACAACCACAUUAAACAAUGCCGCCUUUUCGGUUUGACCGCGAACGUGAGACAAUCGAUAUGAUAACAGGACCCCUGUUAUUUGAUCGAUUUUGACACGUAUCGUAGUCUGCAUUCGGGUAGGCAUUGUCAUGGAGACGCUGCAGAUAUACCUAGAUUCGAGGUGCAGUUAAGCCUAAGAUAAGGUACAUGUAUAUAUGGAUUUUGUAAAUUCCGGGACAUUUGACAGAUUUCCGGGACAGCGGGACAAGUUCUUCAUUUCCGGGACUGUCCCGGACAAUCCGGGACGUAUGGCAUGUAUGUAUAAACUCACAGUCACAAGUGUGUAAGUAUUACUGUUACAUUUAUUUAUAUUUACUAAAAGUAAAUAUAUGCUCACAUAUCAGAAAGUAUUGUACAGCCCUAAAUUAUAUUUAAUACACCCAUCUAGGCAGUAAAUUCAUAUAUGUGCUGGUUUUAAUUUACAUCCAUGUUAUUAUCACCCUGCAAUAGGCGGAGUAGUCAAUAUAAAUUGCCGCCUAAGAGUCUUUUGAUGAUUUUUGCUUUGGCAGACUCUUGGCGUCAAUAGUCCACUCUAUCUUUUUAAUAGCGAGAGUUUUCCUUCUUUGUCUAUAUUGAUGCGCAAGGAAUUUGGUGCGCAACAUUCAAGCCCCGAUAUCAGACAGUUAAUAUCAACGGAUUGCAAUAAUAUUUACAUACCUGUGUAGAUAAUUCAUUUCUCAAUAAUGUUCCGUAAGAAUUAUGUAAUGACUCUUUCAAUUUUGCACGCCUGACCAAUUUAAAUCAACACACUACUCACAUUUUCAAUUCCAAUCGCUGUGCCCGCUGUAUACGGCAGGUAGAUUUUAAUCGAUAACGCAGCCUAUUACACCGUAAUGCCUUCUUCUGAUUGGUUGAUAUUUAAAUAUUUCAUAAUAUGGCGAGAGGUCAGUGAUUGUAUAGCGAUUUAAGCAGAAGUUUAACUGAAACAAAUUAUGCAUUUUAACUUCAAUUCGACGCUAUUUGAGGUAAAAAUAGACUAAUUAACCAAAACUUUAUGAGUUGGUAAUGUUAUUUUGCAAUUUUAAGCAUAUUGAUAUAAUAGUAUUGUAUUUAUUUUUCGUUAUGGUUUUUGCAGACCGGAGUUUCAGCGUUCAGAUUUAUUCUGAACGCGAAUUAUUUCAGCUAUAGGCGGAGGGAUAUUGUUUUGGCCUUGUCCGCCCGUCUUUCAGUCCAUCCGGCAGUUUUGUGUUGGGAGCCAUAUCUUGGAAGUGCUUUGGCGGAUUUCAUUGAAACUUGUAACACCUGGCGUCGUGACCUGGAUGCAGAUUCUAAGCAGAUGGGCCAAAAUGGGGGCAGCUAGAGAGACUCGCCUGGAACUGACAAGCCUGGAGGGAGCUGGUUGACUGUUGGCGAGAUGGGACAACAGACGAAGAAUAAACGAACCUACUUGAUUUUUAUGUUUUUCAGUUUCGUCGGAAGACGUUUCCCACCAACCAUCCUGUCUUGAAAGAAAUAACUUUUGAACCCGAUUAUCUGAUAUUUUCCAGUUUCCCCUCACAACAAUUUGCAUCAAACCUCUUGUCUGAUUUCCGGGACAGCGGGACAAGUUCUUCAUUUCCAGGACUGUCCUGGACAAUCCUGGACGUAUGCUCCUCAGCUGAAAUCAUCAUCUAGCAGUCACAAUAGUUGAGCGGUUGGAGAGGCAUGCAUUGCGUCCUACUACUGCUCAGACUAUAUCAUGUUUGGCAGACAAAACAUGCUGAUCAAAAAGAAUGUGUACCACAGGGGCCAGUGUUUCCAUUUGAGUGAUUGACAAGAAGAAGAAGAGAUGAGAAAUGUUAUCAUCAUAUUUUAGUCCCUACAUUUAUAGUGUACAGCUCAAUGUAUUGAACCGGUGUUGUAGAAUAUAAUUGGAGAUACAUGCGAACAUUAUAACAUUAUAUAUAAGAUGAUAUUUCAAAAGCAAUAAGAAAUAAAAAGUAUAAAAAGGUCAAAACAGUAAACCUUGUGUUUACAGUGGGCAGGUUUAAAGUGGAAGUGACUAGUUAACUGUUGAUCAUAAGCUGCACUGAUGGAAAAAAUAGUGGGAAAUUACUAUCUAGAAAACUGUUUAACGUACGACAACAGUUGUGGAACUUCAUAAAUGACCGUAUGUAACAGGGCUGGGCAGUUUUCCUUAUAUAGCUAUAGUGAAACCUUUUGAACACUAGUGAAGUCACUGUUUUUUUCCCAAUC